rnacentral:rRNA from 1 species
AACUACUGGAAACGGUAGCUAAUACCGCAUAACGUCGCAAGACCAAAGUGGGGGACCUUCGGGCCUCAUGCCAUCAGAUGUGCCCAGAUGGGAUUAGCUAGUAGGUGGGGUAACGGCUCACCUAGGCGACGAUCCCUAGCUGGUCUGAGAGGAUGACCAGCCACACUGGAACUGAGACACGGUCCAGACUCCUACGGGAGGCAGCAGUGGGGAAUAUUGCACAAUGGGCGCAAGCCUGAUGCAGCCAUGCCGCGUGUGUGAAGAAGGCCUUCGGGUUGUAAAGCACUUUCAGCGGGGAGGAAGGCGAUAAGGUUAAUAACCUUGUCGAUUGACGUUACCCGCAGAAGAAGCACCGGCUAACUCCGUGCCAGCAGCCGCGGUAAUACGGAGGGUGCAAGCGUUAAUCGGAAUUACUGGGCGUAAAGCGCACGCAGGCGGUCUGUCAAGUCGGAUGUGAAAUCCCCGGGCUCAACCUGGGAACUGCAUUCGAAACUGGCAGGCUAGAGUCUUGUAGAGGGGGGUAGAAUUCCAGGUGUAGCGCCCAAAUGCGUAGAAAUCCGGAAGAAUACCGGUGGCAAAGGCGGG